GUGGGUGGCAAGCGUUGUCCGGGAAUUAUUGGGGCGUAAAGCGCGCGCAGGCGGUUCUUUAAGUCUGAUGUGAAAGCCCACGGGCUCAACCGUGGAGGGUCAUUGGAAACUGGAGAACUUGAGUACAGAAGAGGAAAGCGGAAUUCCACGUGUAGCGGUGAAAUGCGUAGAGAUGUGGAGGAACACCAGUGGCGAAGGCGGCUUUCUGGUCUGUAACUGACGCUGAGGCGCGAAAGCGUGGGGAGCAAACAGGAUUAGAUACCCUGGUAGUCCACGCCGUAAACGAUGAGUGCUAAGUGUUAGGGGGUUUCCGCCCCUUAGUGCUGCAGCUAACGCAUUAAGCACUCCGCCUGGGGAGUACGGCCGCAAAGGCUGA
rnacentral:rRNA from 1 species